rnacentral:piRNA from 1 species
UGACAUGUCUCAGCCAGAGAGUUCUUGCC